rnacentral:rRNA from 1 species
AUUGAACGCUGGCGGAAUGCUUUACACAUGCAAGUCGAACGGCAGCUCGGACUUCGGUCUGGUGGCGAGUGGCGAACGGGUGAGUAAUGUAUCGGAACGUGCCCAGUCGUGGGGGAUAACGUAGUGAAAAUUACGCUAAUACCGCAUACGAUCUAUGGAUGAAAGCGGGGGAUCGCAAACCCUCGCGCGAUUGGAGCGGCCGAUAUCUGAUUAGGUAGUUGGUGGGGUAAAGGACCACCAAGCCAAGGCUCUGUAGCUGGUCCGAGAGGACGACCAGCCACACUGGAACUGAGACACGGUCCAGACUCCUACGGGAGGCAGCAGUGGGGAAUUUUGGACAAUGGACGCAAGUCUGAUCCAGCCAUUCCGCGUGCAGGAUGAAGGCCCUCGGGUUGUAAACUGCUUUUGUACGGAACGAAAAGGUCUCUCUUAAUACGGGGGGCUCAUGACGGUACCGUAAGAAUAAGCACCGGCUAACUACGUGCCAGCCGCCGCCGUAA